UACAGAGGUCUCAAGCGUUGUUCGGAUUCAUUGGGCGUAAAGGGUGCGUAGGCGGCGCGGUAAGUCGGGUGUGAAAUCUCGGGGCUUAACUCCGAAACUGCAUUCGAUACUGCCGUGCUUGAGGACUGGAGAGGAGACUGGAAUUUACGGUGUAGCGGUGAAAUGCGUAGAUAUCAGGAGGAAUACCGAUGGCGAAGGCAGGUCUCUGGGCUAUAACUGACGCUCAUGCGCGAAAGCGUGGGGAGCAAACAGG
rnacentral:rRNA from 1 species